CCCUUAGAUGUCCGGGGCUGCACGCGCGCUACACUGAAGGAAUCAGCGUGCUAAAACCAUUAUCGAAAGGCAUUGGUAAACCCAUUAAAAUCCUACGUGAUUGGGAUCGGGAAUUGCAAUUAUUUCCCUUGAACGAGGAAUUCCCAGUAAGUGUGGGUCAUAAGCUCGCGUUGAUUACGUCCCUGCCCUUUGUACACACCGCCCGUCGCUGCCCGGGACUGAGCCGUUUCGAGAAAAGCGGGGACUGCUGCUGUCGGGGCUUUCGGGCCUUGGCUUCGGUGGAAACCGCUUUAAUCGCAGUGGCUUGAACCGGGCAAAAGUCGUAACA
rnacentral:rRNA from 1 species